CAGCCGCCGCGGUAAUACCGGCGGCCCGAGUGGCGGCCACUAUUAUUGGGCUUAAAGCGUCCGUAGCCGGGUUGGUUAGUCUCCCGGGAAAUCUGGCCGCUUAACGGUCAGAAUUCCGGGAGAUACUGCCAGCCUAGGGACCGGGAGAGGCCGAGGGUAUUCCCGGAGUAGGGGGGAAAUCCUAUAAUCCCGGGGGGACCACCUGUGGCGAAGGCGCUCGGCUGGAACGGGUCCGACGGUGAGGGACGAAGGCCAGGGGAGCAAACCGGAUUAGAUACCCGGGUAGUCCUGGCUGUAAAGGAUGCGGGCUAGGUGUCGGGUGAGCUUCGAGCUCGCCCGGUGCCGUAGGGAAGCCGUUAAGCCCGCCGCCUGGGGAGUACGGCCGCAAGGCUGAAACUUAAAGGAAUUGGCGGG
rnacentral:rRNA from 1 species